rnacentral:rRNA from 1 species
AGUGAACGCUGGCGGUAGGCCUAACACAUGCAAGUCGAACGGCAGCACAGUAAGAGCUUGCUCUUACGGGUGGCGAGUGGCGGACGGGUGAGGAAUACAUCGGAAUCUACUUUUUCGUGGGGGAUAACGUAGGGAAACUUACGCUAAUACCGCAUACGACCUACGGGUGAAAGCAGGGGAUCUUCGGACCUUGCGCGAUUGAAUGAGCCGAUGUCGGAUUAGCUAGUUGGCGGGGUAAAGGCCCACCAAGGCGACGAUCCGUAGCUGGUCUGAGAGGAUGAUCAGCAACACUGGAACUGAGACACGGUCCAGACUCCUACGGGAGGAAGCGGUGGGGAAUAUUGGACAAUGGGCGCAAGCCUGAUCCAGCCAUACCGCGUGGGUGUAGAAGGCCUUCGGGUUGUAAAGCCCUUUUGUUGGGAAAGAAAUGCAGCAGGUUAAUACCCCGCUGUUCUGACGGUACCCAAAGAAUAAGCACCGGCUAACUUCGUG